rnacentral:rRNA from 1 species
ACGCUCGACACCUACGGGAGCAGCAGUGGGGAAUAUUGCACAAUGGGGGAAACCCUGAUGCAGCGACGCCGCGUGGAGGAAGAAGGUCUUCGGAUUGUAAACUCCUGUUGUUGGGGAAAAAGAGGAUGGUACCCAACAAGGAAGUGACGGCUAACUACGUGCCAGCAGCAGCGGUAAUCUGAGCGGGCUGGCAAGGC